GGGGGGGGGGGGGGGCGGGGGGGGGGGGGGGAAGUGGAGGGGGAGGGCGCUGCGUGGGUGGGGUGCUCGGGUGGCGCACGGGUGAGUAACACGGGAGUAACCUGCCCUUGGCUUUGGGUUAACUUCAGGAAACGGGGGCUCAUACCGGAUAGGAGCGCCUGCUGCGUGGUGUGGGUUGGAAAGUUUCGGCGGUUGGGGAUGGACUCGCGGCUUAUCAGCUUGUUGGUGGGGUAGUGGCUUACCAAGGCUUUGACGGGUAGCAGGCCUGAGAGGGUGACCGGCCACAUUGGGACUGAGAUACGGCCCAGACUCCUACGGGAGGCAGCAGUGGGGAAUAUUGCACAAUGGGCGGAAGCCUGAUGCAGCAACGCCGCGUGCGGGAUGACGGCCUUCGGGUUGUAAACCGCUUUCGCCUGUGACGAAGCGUGAGUGACGGUAAUGGGUAAAGAAGCACCGGCUAACUACGUG
rnacentral:rRNA from 1 species